UUGACCUCAAAUCAGGUAGGACUACCCGCUGAACUUAAGCAUAUCAAUAAGCGGAGGAAAAGAAACUAACAAGGAUUCCCCUAGUAACUGCGAGUGAAGCGGGAAAAGCUCAAAUUUGAAAUCUGGCAGUUCUUUUGACUGUCCGAGUUGUAAUCUAGAGAAGUGUUACCUGUGCUGGACCAUGUACAAGUCUUCUGGAAUGGAGCAUCAUAGAGGGUGAGAAUCCYGUCUUUGACAUGGACUACCAGUGCACUGUGGUGCGCUCUCAAAGAGUCGAGUUGUUUGGGAAUGCAGCUCAAAAUGGGUGGUAAAUGCCAUCUAAAGCUAAAUAUUGGCGAGAGACCGAUAGCGAACAAGUACCGUGAGGGAAAGAUGAAAAGAACUUUGGAAAGAGAGUUAAACAGUACGUGAAAUUGCUGAAAGGGAAACGCUUGAAGUCAGUCACGUUGGCUAGAAAUCAGCCUUGCUUUUGCUUGGUGUACUUUCUGGUUUGACGGGUCAGCAUCGAUUUCUACCAUUGGAUAAAGUCUCUGGGAAUGUGGCAUCUUUGGAUGUGUUAUAGCCCAUUGUCGCAUACAAUGGUUGGGAUCGAGGAACUCAGCACGCCGCAAGGCCGGGUUUUAGCCACGUUCGUGCUUAGGAUGCUGGCAUAAUGGCUUUAAUCGACCCGU
rnacentral:rRNA from 1 species